CAGUAGCCGCGGUAAUACGUAGGGUGCGAGCGUUAAUCGGAAUUACUGGGCGUAAAGGGCUCGCAGGCGGUUUCUUAAGUCUGAUGUGAAAGCCCCCGGCUCAACCGGGGAGGGUCACUGGAAACUGGGAAACUUGAGUGCAGAAGAGGAGAGUGGAAUUCCACGUGUAGCGGUGAAAUGCGUAGAGAUGUGGAGGAACACCAGUGGCGAAGGCGACUCUCUGGUCUGUAACUGACGCUGAGGAGCGAAAGCGUGGGGAGCGAACAGGAUUAGAUACCCCAGUAGUCCCUGUCUCUUAUAC
rnacentral:rRNA from 1 species